rnacentral:misc_RNA from 1 species
GGAAAACAUUGUGCUCUCCAUGCAUAAAAGAUAACAAAACUAGUAAAACUUCCAUCAUGAUUACCAUAAAAUGAUAACAUCAAAGGACAGAGAAUUAAGUUCUUCAAUGUCUGCCAUAAGAGAGGAUCAAAUAGAAGACAAACUAUUACAAACUUCAAACAGGCCUAUAUUCUUUGUCAUUGCUUUUACUUGCAGAGUGAAGCUAACACACGACGAGGUGGGUUGAACGAUUUUCUGGAGUGAAGAACAGCCAAAUUGUCAAUCAGCAAGACAUCGCCUUUCUUCCAUGGAAUCGCGACACUUUCAUCCUCAAGGAUGCUUAAACAAUCAUGUACAACUUCAGCAGGCAAAGGCUGACCAUCUCCAAAAGUGACUGCUUUCACAGGAUCGUUUUUAGCAUCUUUCCAUCCAGUAUAAGCAGCUACCAUGCUAUUGAACCAUAUUUUCUGCUGCCUUUCUUCGUUGAAUUUGAUGCCUGGUAUAGGUCCCAUGACGGUUUUAACACCAUCUUCUAGCCAUUCCAGCUUCAUCCCUAACUUGGCAGCCCUUUCUUCAGCAACACUCUUAUCUUUGGUUAAAAAUGUAGACUUCCAGCCUCGACCAAUCGGGGAAGAAGGAUCAUCAUCUUCCCCUAAUACCCUUAUAUAGAUUAAGCCAUGCUCUUCCAAUCGCUCAACAAACUCAGGAUACUUAUUCUUCAUCUUCUCAUAUACAACAUUACUUACAACUAUUGGAGUCUCUCCCCCACUUCCAGGUUCCACAUCACAAAAGAAGAACAACUUUGACGGAUACUCGGGAACCUGAGCCAUUUCAUGAUGAAAUGGAAUUUUUUGAUCAGGUGGCGAUUCAUUAGCAGUGAAGACACGACCAACAACACUAGUGCGAGGAGCAGCACCGCCGACGUACGGCAGUUCCUCGUAGCCGAAAGCUUCAACGACGUCAUUAAAGUCUGAUGCUGAGUUCACCGGAAAUCCCCUGAAAAGAAUAGCCCCAGAUUGAUGGAGAAGAGACCCAACCCAUGUUUUUUGUUCUUUGAUUAUCUGAGGAAGUUGGGAUAUAGGUUGAUUAGAGUUUGGAGAUAACACAGCUGGAAAAGGAACUCCAUUGUAAAGCUUCUGUUGAGGUACUCCGACUUGGGUCAACAAAUUUUCCGGCAUUUUUUCUUCUUUGCUCUGUUUUCGCCAUUAAUGAACAAU